UGCAUGUUUCUUCAUUUCAUACUGUCAAAACAUAACAAUAUACAAUACAUGAAUGACACCUGCAAGGCUGCGGUUCACAGUUUAACAACAAUUGGAACACUUCAGCCAUGGCCGAGUUGUAACGAUUGUAUAUAAGAGGUCUUUCUCGAAGCUUGCCGAAGAUGGUCAAGUUUUAAGCUUGGUACAAUUGUUGUCUGUGUCGGUCAAGUUUCGUUUUGUUGGAAAGAUGUUUUUGGCCAGAAUCAACGCCCUUGCAGAAAAAAAGCCACCCAGAACUACCUUCAGGCAAAUACCGCUGAAAUUGAGCUGAAUUUGUGCUAUAUGCAGUAUAUCGAUCAAUACAUAGGUAAUGGAGUGUUUGCUAGGCAAGAGCUCUUGAAGGGGCAGUUUAUUCUCGAGUACAGAGGAGAACUAUGUAAACAGCAGUCUGAUGGUGAUGAAAUGUUCAAAUACCAUUUCAGACAUAACAACAAGGAAUACUGCAUCGAUGCCUCAAAAGACACGUGUCUGGCAUGCAUGGUCAACGACUUGGACCGAUACACAAAGCCUAAUUGCAAAAUGGUUAAAGUUGUUGAUGACAGACAUCAACCAAGACUCUGUCUGUAUGAUCAGCAAAGACACUGAAUUGAGGUACGAUUAUGGUGUUGCUGAUGUACCUUGGAGAAAGCGAAAGAUGCUGUUAAAGAUGGUCAUACAGCUGCAGAUACUACAGAGGUCACAGAAACAUCUGAAGAUGCCCUCGGUGAAUCAGCAGAAGUCUUGGAACAUGCUUAUCAUGAUGCUGUAGGGAACAGUGGGACAGUUGCCCCAUCCACAGUUGCCCCAUCCACAGUUGUCUCUGAACAUGCUGAAGGGCCGCCUCAAGCAAUGUUCAAGAUUUGACCCAGGAGCAGCUACAGUAUAUGGUUGAUCAGAGUGAGAGGCAUCUGCGGAAAAUAUUUGGAGGAUAUAUUCUCUGCGAGAGACAUAUUGCAUUCAAGCAGGAAGGAAGAAGCAAAAAUGCUGUUAAGACGAUUAUACAGUUGCAGAAACAACAGAGAUCUCAGAACCAUCUCAAGAUGCUCUUGGUGCAUCAACAGAAGAUCAGAAGUGGACCAUGCUUAUCUUGAUGCUACAGGGAACAAUGGUACAGUUGCCCCAUCCACUGUCAUCUCUGAACAUGCUGAAGGGCUGCCUGAAGCCAGGAACUUUCAGCGUUUAACAAAGGAGCAAGGCCA